rnacentral:misc_RNA from 1 species
GAUGAAGAACGUAGUGAAAUGCGAUAAGUAAUGUGAAUUGCAGAAUUCAGUGAAUCAUCGAAUCUUUGAACGCACCUUGCGCUCCUUGGUAUUCCGAGGAGCAUGCCUGUUUGAGUCUCAUGGAAUUCUCAAGCUUACAGUUUUGUUACUGCAAGGCUUGGACUUGGAGGUCGUGUCGGCUCUCGCGAGUCGACUCCUCUGAAAUGCAUUAGUGCGGACGUUACCGGUCGCUUCAGCGUGAUAAUUAUCUGCGCUGCCGUCGACUGGUAUGUGAAGUACGCGCUUCUAACCGUCCUUCACGGGACAAUACAUUGAAACUCUGAGCUCAAAUCAGGUAGGACUACCCGCUGAACUUAAGCAUAUCAAUAAGCGGAGGA